AUUGAACGCUGGCGGCAGGCCUAACACAUGCAAGUCGAGCGGAUGAAGGGAGCUUGCUCCUGGAUUCAGCGGCGGACGGGUGAGUAAUGCCUAGGAAUCUGCCUGGUAGUGGGGGAUAACGUCCGGAAACGGGCGCUAAUACCGCAUACGUCCUGAGGGAGAAAGUGGGGGAUCUUCGGACCUCACGCUAUCAGAUGAGCCUAGGUCGGAUUAGCUAGUUGGUGGGGUAAAGGCCUACCAAGGCGACGAUCCGUAACUGGUCUGAGAGGAUGAUCAGUCACACUGGAACUGAGACACGGUCCAGACUCCUACGGGAGGCAGCAGUGGGGAAUAUUGGACAAUGGGCGAAAGCCUGAUGCAGCCAUGCCGCGUGUGUGAAGAAGGUCUUCGGAUUGUAAAGCACUUUAAGUUGGGAGGAAGGGCAGUAAGUGAAUACCUGGCUGUUUUGACGUUACCAACAGAAUAAGCACCGGCUAACUUCGUG
rnacentral:rRNA from 1 species